GCCCUCGUAGCUCAAUGGAUAGAGUACAUGGCUUCGAACCAUGGGAUUGAGGUCCGAUUCCUCACGAGGGCA
rnacentral:tRNA from 1 species